GCCCACUGAUGAGAUUAUGGCAAGUUUUAUGAUCCAGUCCAACCAAGAGGUUACCGUCUCUAGCCUGCUGUUGGUGGGUAGUCUUGGUGGUGUGGUGGAGUUUUAUUGCACUGCUGUAAGGGCCCAUCCACAGUUAACUUGCCGUCUUUUACAACCUUUGUCCCCCCCAAAGCGCAAUGGGAUGGGACAGGUAGAAGAUGUCAUACAAUGUGCGACUGUUUGUCUGUGUGUUGUAUGAAUGUAUAUGUAUCAGCUGGCAAGCGGCUGUAGUCUCAAUAUACUUGGUUUGGUGGGUAUGAACUACUCUUUGGUAAUCUGAGGGCA
ensembl:snoRNA